rnacentral:misc_RNA from 1 species
GAUGAAGAACGUAGCGAAAUGCGAUAAGUAAUGUGAAUUGCAGAAUUCAGUGAAUCAUCGAAUCUUUGAACGCACAUUGCGCCCAUAGUAUUCUAGUGGGCAUGCCUGUUCGAGCGUCAUUAAGUCCACUUAAGCCCUGCUUAGUGUUGGGAGACUGCUCCAGCGGUGCUACCCUGUAGCUACCCUGCAGCUCCUCAAAGACAGCGGCGGAGUUGUGGUAUCCUCUGAGCUUAGUAACUUGUUCUAGCUUUCGAGUACACCACUUCCCCUGCCGUAAAACCCUUAAUUUUUAAUGGUUGACCUCGGAUCAGGUAGGAAUACCCGCUGAACUUAAGCAUAUCAAUAAGCGGAUGA